GAUUAAGUUAUUAAGGGCGCACGGUCGAUGCCUUGGCACUAGAAGCCGAAGAAGGACGUUACUAACGACGAUAUGCUUUGGGGAGCUGUAAGUAAGCGUUGAUCCAGAGAUUUCCGAAUGGGGAAACCCAACAUGAGUUAUGUCAUGUUAUCGAUAUGUGAAUACAUAGCAUAUCAGAAGGCAGACCCGGAGAACUGAAACAUCUUAGUACCCGGAGGAAGAGAAAGAAAAAUCGAUUCCCUGAGUAGCGGCGAGCGAAACGGGAAGAGCCCAAACCAACAAGCUUGCUUGUUGGGGUUGUAGGACACUCUAUACGGAGUUACAAAAGUAUAUAUUAGACGAAUCAUCUGGAAAGUUGAAUCAAAGAAGGUAAUAAUCCUGUAGUCGAAAAUAUAUACUCUCUUGAGUGGAUCCUGAGUACGACGGAGCACGUGAAAUUCCGUCGGAAUCUGGGAGGACCAUCUCCUAAGGCUAAAUACUCUCUAGUGACCGAUAGUGAACCAGUACCGUGAGGGAAAGGUGAAAAGUACCCCGGAAGGGGAGUGAAAGAGAACUUGAAACCGUGUGCUUACAAGUAGUCAGAGCCCGUUAAUGGGUGAUGGCGUGCCUUUUGUAGAAUGAACCGGCGAGUUACGAUUUGAUGCAAGGUUAAGCAGUGAAUGUGGAGCCGUAGCGAAAGCGAGUCUGAAUAGGGCGUUGAGUAUUUGGUCGUAGACCCGAAACCAGGUGAUCUACCCUUGGUCAGGUUGAAGUUCAGGUAACACUGAAUGGAGGACCGAACCGACUUACGUUGAAAAGUGAGCGGAUGAACUGAGGGUAGCGGAGAAAUUCCAAUCGAACCUGGAGAUAGCUGGUUCUCUCCGAAAUAGCUUUAGGGCUAGCCUCAAGUGAUGAUUAUUGGAGGUAGAGCACUGUUUGGACGAGGGGCCCUUCUCGGGUUACCGAAUUCAGACAAACUCCGAAUGCCAAUCAAUUUAACUUGGGAGUCAGAACAUGGGUGAUAAGGUCCGUGUUCGAAAGGGAAACAGCCCAGACCACCAGCUAAGGUCCCAAAAUAUAUGUUAAGUGGAAAAGGAUGUGGCGUUGCCCAGACAACUAGGAUGUUGGCUUAGAAGCAGCCAUCAUUUAAAGAGUGCGUAAUAGCUCACUAGUCGAGUGACACUGCGCCGAAAAUGUACCGGGGCUAAACAUAUUACCGAAGCUGUGGAUUGUCCGUAGGACAAUGGUAGGAGAGCGUUCUAAGGGCGUUGAAGCAUGAUCGCAAGGACAUGUGGAGCGCUUAGAAGUGAGAAUGCCGGUGUGAGUAGCGAAAGACGGGUGAGAAUCCCGUCCACCGAUUGACUAAGGUUUCCAGAGGAAGGCUCGUCCGCUCUGGGUUAGUCGGGUCCUAAGCUGAGGCCGACAGGCGUAGGCGAUGGAUAACAGGUUGAUAUUCCUGUACCACCUAGUAUCGUUUUAAUCGAUGGGGGGACGCAGUAGGAUAGGCGAAGCGUGCUAUUGGAUUGCACGUCCAAGCAGUAAGACUGAGUGUUAGGCAAAUCCGGCACUCAUAAGGUCAAGCUGUGAUGGGGAGAGGAAAUUGUUUCCUCGAGUCGUUGAUUUCACACUGCCAAGAAAAGCCUCUAGAUAGAUAACAGGUGCCCGUACCGCAAACCGACACAGGUAGUCAAGAUGAGAAUUCUAAGGUGAGCGAGCGAACUCUCGUUAAGGAACUCGGCAAAAUGACCCCGUAACUUCGGGAGAAGGGGUGCUCUUUAGGGUUAACGCCCAGAAGAGCCGCAGUGAAUAGGCCCAAGCGACUGUUUAUCAAAAACACAGGUCUCUGCUAAACCGUAAGGUGAUGUAUAGGGGCUGACGCCUGCCCGGUGCUGGAAGGUUAAGAGGAGUAGUUAGCUUCUGCGAAGCUACGAAUCGAAGCCCCAGUAAACGGCGGCCGUAACUAUAACGGUCCUAAGGUAGCGAAAUUCCUUGUCGGGUAAGUUCCGACCCGCACGAAAGGCGUAACGAUUUGGGCACUGUCUCAACGAGAGACUCGGUGAAAUCAUAGUACCUGUGAAGAUGCAGGUUACCCGCGACAGGACGGAAAGACCCCGUGGAGCUUUACUGUAGCCUGAUAUUGAAAUUCGGCACAGCUUGUACAGGAUAGGUAGGAGCCUUUGAAACGUGAGCGCUAGCUUACGUGGAGGCAUUGGUGGGAUACUACCCUAGCUGUGUUGGCUUUCUAACCCGCACCACUUAUCGUGGUGGGAGACAGUGUCAGGUGGGCAGUUUGACUGGGGCGGUCGCCUCCUAAAAGGUAACGGAGGCGCUCAAAGGUUCCCUCAGAAUGGUUGGAAAUCAUUCAUAGAGUGUAAAGGCAUAAGGGAGCUUGACUGCGAGACUUACAAGUCGAGCAGGGUCGAAAGACGGACUUAGUGAUCCGGUGGUUCCGCAUGGAAGGGCCAUCGCUCAACGGAUAAAAGCUACCCCGGGGAUAACAGGCUUAUCUCCCCCAAGAGUUCACAUCGACGGGGAGGUUUGGCACCUCGAUGUCGGCUCAUCGCAUCCUGGGGCUGUAGUCGGUCCCAAGGGUUGGGCUGUUCGCCCAUUAAAGCGGUACGCGAGCUGGGUUCAGAACGUCGUGAGACAGUUCGGUCCCUAUCCGUCGUGGGCGUAGGAAAUUUGAGAGGAGCUGUCCUUAGUACGAGAGGACCGGGAUGGACAUACCUCUGGUGUACCAGUUGUCGUGCCAACGGCAUAGCUGGGUAGCUAUGUAUGGACGGGAUAAGUGCUGAAAGCAUCUAAGCAUGAAGCCCCCCUCAAGAUGAGAUUUCCCAACUUCGGUUAUAAGAUCCCUCAAAGAUGAUGAGGUUAAUAGGUUCGAGGUGGAAGCGUGGUGACACGUGGAGCUGACGAAUACUAAUCGAUCGAAGACUUAAUCAA
rnacentral:rRNA from 1 species